GUGUAAAAUUGAGUUGUAAUAAGUGUUGAAGCAGUGUAACAUGAAAAAGAUUGAAGUGUGCUAAACAUGGCUCAACUGGCACUCGAGCGGGACCUUCCAGAGAGGUUCGCUCAAGGUGCGCUCGAUAUAACGCUCGAGCAGAACCCAUCCAGAGAGGUUCGCUCGAUGUGCGCUCG